rnacentral:misc_RNA from 1 species
GUGAGUCAUCGAAUCUUUGAACGCACAUUGCGCCCCUUGGCAUUCCGAGGGGCAUGCCCGUUCGAGCGUCAUUAUAACCCUCAAGGCCUAGCCUUGGUGUUGGGGCCUGCUGUUACCGGUAGCCCUUAAAAUCAGUGGCGGCGCCAUCUGGCUCUAAGCGUAGUAAUACUUCUCGCUACAGGGUCCGGUGGAUGCUUGCUAGCAACCCCUAAUUUUCUAUGGUUGACCUCGGAUCGGGUAGGGAUACCCGCUGAACUUAAGCAUAUCAAUAAGCGGAGGA